AGACGUCUACAUUAGAUACCCCUGUAGUCCCAGCCGUAAACUAUGCGCGUUAGGUGUAUCGGUGACCACGAGUCACCGAGGUGCCGAAGGGAAACCGUGAAACGUGCCGCCUGGGAAGUACGGUCGCAAGGCUGAAACUUAAAGGAAUUGGCGGGGGAGCACCACAACAGGUGGAGCCUGCGGUUUAAUUGGAUUCAACGCCGGACAUCUCACCGGAUAAGACAGCUGAAUGAUUGUCAAUCUGAAGGUUUUACAUGACUAGCUG
rnacentral:rRNA from 1 species